rnacentral:rRNA from 1 species
GACGAGGGAUCCUAGCGUUGUUCGGAAUCAUUGGGCGUAAAGCGGGUGUAGGCGGGCUUCUAAGUCAGGUGUGAAAUCCCAGGGCUCAACCCUGGAAGUGCACUUGAUACUGGAAGUCUUGAAUGUGGUAGAGGCUAUUAGAAUUCUUGGUGUAGUGGUGAAAUACGUAGAUAUCAAGAGGAAUACCGGAGGCGAAGGCGGCAUCCUGGACCGGUAUUGACGCUGAGGCGCGAAAGCUAGGGGAGCAAACGGG